GAUGAACGCUGGCGGCGUGCUUAACACAUGCAAGUCGAGCGAGAAGUUUUGAAAAGAUUCUUCGGAUGAAAUUUAAAAUGGAAAGCGGCGGACGGGUGAGUAACGCGUAGGCAACCUGCCCCAUACAAAGGGAUAGCAUUUGGAAACGAAUAUUAAUACCUUAUGAAACUUAACUAGUGCAUGCUAGGUAGGUCAAAGAUUUAUCGGUAUGGGAUGGGCCUGCGUCUGAUUAGCUAGUUGGUGAGGUAACGGCUCACCAAGGCGACGAUCAGUAGCCGACCUGAGAGGGUGAACGGCCACAUUGGAACUGAGACACGGUCCAAACUCCUACGGGAGGCAGCAGUGGGGAAUAUUGCACAAUGGGGGAAACCCUGAUGCAGCAACGCCGCGUGAACGAUGAAGGCCUUUGGGUCGUAAAGUUCUGUUCUAGGUGAUGAAAAC
rnacentral:rRNA from 1 species